UUCUACCUGCAACGUCUAGAAUUAGGGCCUCAUCUAUGGCAACUAUAGAAUGUAUAGAAUGUAUACUUGUAAAAAUAUCUCAGCAGAGUCAAUAAAGGAUGCUAUGCUGAAAAGUGAGAAUGUUCCGCUUUGUGGUUCAUUUCUGUGAUGAAGAAGACCACACAAAAUAACCCUUCCCAGCUGCAUCCUCUGAAUGGAUCGCCAAAGUGACUAUCUUUUUCUGUUACAAGUGCUACAGUCCCUCAAGUAACAUUACCACAGAUUCAUCAGCCAGCCUGAGACAGUAAAUAAAGGAGAGUGAAACAUCCCUGGGGACAUGGAGUCUUGACUCUGGUUUGAAUGGUAUAUCAUUCUGAGGAUUCACACAUUUAUUGACCCCCCCCCAAAAAGGGGGUCAACAUGAUAAUGCAGUGUGUAUUGAUUUGGUUCAACUCAGAAAUUGCUCAUUUAUUGCUUAUAUUUAUGUAAAUAAAGCAAUAGCCUUUCAUCUUCCAAUUUCAACAUGUUACUGAACUAAUGUGGUUAAAGACAUAGUUGAACUAUCCUUAACAGGAUUUCUGUUUCUAUCAUGAAGUGCAAAGGAACAAUUAUGUAAAAUUAAUAUAUUUCUAAUAAUUUGAGUAUGCCUUUCAGCAUCAGUAUUGUAAACCCACGUCCUUUUUAUUGUCCAAGACAAUUUCACCCAAAACACUUUGGCAUAAUUCCUUUGUAGUUGUAGCUUGGUUUUCAUGCUUAUUUCUUUUCUACUACUAAAUCUUUAAAUCUACUAGCUUGGGAAUGAAUGAGGAUGAAAGAAUUUAGCCUUAAAAUAGUUUCAAAAAAAUCAUGUCUGUUAAAAUAUUUUCUAAUAUUUAUUUUUAUUAAAACAGCAGUAAAAAGAUACUAUAUAAAGUAUGUAUUAUAGUCAUGCAUUUGACAACUUAACUCCUUUUUCCUAGGUCAUUGCUUUGCUGUAUAAGCUUGAAAUAACUUUUUGGGACCAAAUCAUAGUAGACACAGAGCUAUGACCCUAAAGAUAAAUAUUGUUUUAUUUUCCUUAGUUCAGGAGGGAUAAAUUAAGCUUUGAAUGCAAAGAAUUAUGUUGUGACUGUGUAAAGUUAUAUAAAAGAACAAUUCUGGCCAUUGAAGUAUAAGAAAACAUAUGUGUUAUAUUGAUAUUUGGUUUGAUAGUUUGGCUCUUAAUAUUGCUGGGUACAAAAAUCAUUUUUCCUAAGCAUUGUAAUAACAAUGGGCCUCUGGUAUCUGUUUCGCCUCAUCGCUGAUUCAUUCAGUAUAAAAAUAAAUUGAGCAGUGCAUUCUGUCAGACAUCAUUUUAUGGAAAAUGCAGUGUGGUUGAUAUUGUGCUCUAUUCCUUAAACUUAUCAAGCUACACAGCCACAAGGAGCUAUUUACUGUGGGAACAAGCUAUUCAUUUGUAAGUACUCCCUUUGGAUGCCAGGUAAGGGAUAUCCAGGACCUGACAGGUGCAUAGUGUUUAAGGGCAUCAGUCUUGGACAAAAAAAAAAAAAAUGCAUAUAGAAGAGGUGAAAUCAGUGUAUAGUGAGCAGUGGGGAAGGAAAUGACUUGUGCUCCUGCUGGUAUAUAAAGGUAUAUUAUGCACAAUAAGAAUAGCUCAGUUCUGUGAGCUCCAUGGUUUGCUUCCCUCUAGAAGUGAAGAAGGGUAAUAUGCAAGAUUCUUUUGUCUUCCAGUGUAGCCUAGGCAAUUACUUAAUAUUGAUUUCCUAGAAGUUUUGUCUUAUAUAUCAGCAUUUUGUUAGCAAACUUCACAAUGCAAUCAUGUUGGUACAGAGAGGAGUAGGGGGAAAGAAAAACCCUCUGUGAGCCAGUUCUUUGUGUAGGUAGCCUCUCCACAUUCAGAAAGCUCUUGCAACUGUGCCUUUCCAUCAGGGGAAUUGCAGUCUUGGGGAAUCCCUGUGCCUGAUUAUGGCUCUCCUCCCAGUGCUGCACUUUUGACCUCUGUAUUGAUUCUGUUCUCUCAUCAAAAGCGCUGAUGUAAUUCCGUGAGCUGGGAUCAUGCCAUGAUUUGCAUUUAGGAUCUGCAACUGUGCGCUGACCCCAAACCAUCUCAUCAGAAUAAAAGUGGACCAAAUGGCAGAUGCGUUUCCCCAUAAUAUUAAAGUCUAUUGAGCCAUUUGGUGGGUUUCUUUAUUGUACAUAGAAAAGGCCAUAUACCAUGCACUCUGGAUUUUCAUUUAGUUCCAAUCAGAGACUAGAAAGGACUCUAAAAUCUAAUAGGGAUCAAAGGGGAUUUUAUCGAUUUUUACACCUGGGCCAAUCAGUAGCAGUCCAAUCUGUUAAAGCAACACAAAAUAAUAAAACUACAUAUAUGUUCAGAAAUUCUGUGAUAUUCAUACUUUAUUUUAUUGCUUUGGGUUUUUUUUUUCAGUAUUUUCUUACUAAUAUAUAGAAACCCUGGAGCCAGAGUUGACUUUCUACAUAAAUACAGUAAAUUGGCAUGCUAUUUAAUUCCUAGAAGAAAACAGCAAAUGUCAUCAGUGAAUACAAUACAGUCUACAAGUUGAC
rnacentral:lncRNA from 1 species